UAGGGAAUCUUCCACAAUGGACGCAAGUCUGAUGGAGCAACGGCCGCGUGAGUGAAGAAGGUUUUCGGACCGUAAAGCUCUGUUGUUGGUGAAGAAGGAUAGAGGUAGUAACUGGCCUUUAUUUGACGGUAAUCAACCAGAAAGUCACGGCUAACUACGUGCCAGCAGCCGCGGUAAUCGUAGGUGGCAAGCGUUGUCCGGAUUUAUUGGGCGUAAAGCGAGCGCAGGCGGAAGAAUAAGUCUGAUGUGAAAGCCCUCGGCUUAACCGAGGAAUUGCAUCGGAAACUGUUUUCUUGAGUGCAGAAGAGGAGAGUAGAACUCCAUGUGUAGCGGUGGAAUGCGUAGAUAUAUGGAAGAAUACCAGUGGCGAAGGCGGCUCUCUGGUCUGCAACUGACGCUGAGGCUCGAAAGCAUGGGUAGCGAACAGGAUUAGAUACCCUGGUAGUCCAUGCCGUAAACGAUGAGUGCUAAGUGUUGGGAGGCUUCCGCCUCUCAGUGCUGCAGCUAACGCAUUAAGCACUCCGCCUGGGGGAGUACGACCGCAAGGUUGAAACUCUA
rnacentral:rRNA from 1 species